rnacentral:rRNA from 1 species
UAAUCUUCCCUCGGGCGGGGGAUAACACUCCGAAAGGAGUGCUAAUACCGCAUAAGACCACGAGACCGAAAGGUCUUGGGGUCAAAGCUGGCCUCUAUUCAUAAGCUAGCACCUGAGGACGAGUCCGCGGCCCAUCAGCUAGUUGGUAGGGUAACGGCCUACCAAGGCAAAGACGGGUAGCUGGUCUGAGAGGAUGAUCAGCCACACUGGAACUGAGACACGGUCCAG